UUCUUCACACUCACUUUACUCCCUCUCCACCGCUUCUCUCAACACCGAAGACACUUCUUCCUCUCGCUCUCUCUCUCUAAGAUAACACGAUGAUAACGGCGACGGACUUCUACCACGUCAUGACGGCGAUGGUUCCGUUAUACGUAGCCAUGAUCCUCGCUUACGGCUCCGUCAAAUGGUGGAAAAUCUUCACACCGACCCAGUGCUCCGGCAUCAACCGUUUCGUGGCUCUCUUCGCCGUCCCUCUCCUCUCUUUCCACUUCAUCGCCGCCAACAACCCUUACGCCAUGAACCUCCGUUUCCUCGCCGCCGACUCUCUCCAGAAAGUCAUCGUCCUCUCUCUCCUCUUCCUCUGGUGCAAACUCAGCCCCAACGGCUCCUUGGACUGGACCAUCACCCUCUUCUCCCUAACCACUCUCCCCAACACUCUUGUCAUGGGCAUACCUCUCCUCAAAGGCAUGUACGGCGACUUCUCUGGCGACCUCAUGGUGCAGAUCGUGGUUCUCCAGUGUAUCAUAUGGUACACGCUCAUGCUCUUUCUCUUCGAGUACCGCGGCGCGAAGCUUCUGAUCUCCGAGCAGUUUCCCGACACGGCUGGGUCUAUUGUCUCGAUCCAUGUUGAUUCCGACAUUAUGUCGUUAGACGGUCGGCAGCCGCUUGAGACGGAAGCUGAGAUUAAAGAAGAUGGGAAGCUUCACGUCACUGUCCGUCGUUCUAACGCCUCGAGGUCUGAUAUCUACUCGAGAAGGUCUCAGGGCUUGUCGGCUACUCCUCGGCCGUCGAAUCUCACCAACGCGGAGAUUUAUUCGCUUCAGAGUUCGAGAAACCCAACGCCACGUGGCUCGAGUUUUAACCAUACUGAUUUUUACUCGAUGAUGGCUGCGGGUGGUGGCCGGAACUCGAACUUCGGUCCCGGAGAAGCUGUUUUCGGUUCAAAAGGACCUACUCCGCGGCCGUCUAACUACGAGGAAGACGGCGGAGCUAAACCGGCGGCGGGAACUGGGAGGUUUCCUUACCAGUCGGGAGGAAGCGGUGGUGGAGGAACGCAUUAUCCGGCGCCGAAUCCAGGUAUGUUUUCGCCGCAGAGCGGCGGCGGAGGUACGGCGGCAAAGGGAAACGGUGCGGUGGUUGGUGGGAAGAGAGGGAGUGGGCAAGAUGGGAAUGGAAGAGAUCUUCAUAUGUUUGUGUGGAGCUCAAGCGCUUCGCCGGUCUCAGAUGUGUUCGGCGGAGGAGGAAACCACCACGCCGAUUACGCCGCCGCUACUAACGAUCAUCACAAGGACGUUAAGAUCUCUGUACCCCAGGGGAAUAGUAACGAUAAUCAAUAUGUGGAGAGGGAAGAGUUCAGUUUCGGUAAUAAAGAUGAUGAUAGCAAAGUCUUGGCCGCAGACAACAACAUAAGCAACAAGGCGCAGCAGCAGCAGCCAAAGGUUAUGCCACCAACAAGUGUGAUGACAAGACUCAUACUCAUUAUGGUCUGGAGAAAACUCAUCCGUAAUCCCAACUCUUACUCCAGUUUAUUCGGCAUCACAUGGUCCCUCAUCUCCUUCAAGUACUGUUUUCUAACAACUCUCAACGUGGAACAUUGAAAUGCCAGCUAUUAUAGCAAAGUCUAUCUCCAUACUCUCAGAUGCAGGUCUAGGCAUGGCUAUGUUCAGUCUUGGGUUGUUCAUGGCGUUGAACCCAAGAAUAAUAGCGUGUGGAAACAGAAGAGCUGCUUUUGCGGCGGGUAUGAGAUUUCUCGCCGGACCUGCCGUCAUGACUGUCGCUUCCUACGCCGUUGGCCUCCGAGGCGUUCUCCUCCGCGUCGCCAUCAUUCAGGCAGCUUUGCCUCAAGGAAUUGUACCCUUUGUGUUCGCGAAGGAGUAUAAUGUGCAUCCUGACAUUCUUAGCACUGCUGUGAUAUUCGGAAUGCUGAUUGCAUUGCCCAUAACCCUUCUCUACUACAUUCUCUUGGGGCUAUGAUGAGAGACCAAGUAUGAAAAGGAAAAAGACAAGGAUCCUCUUAAAAUCAUUUGGGAGAUUAUGGAAUUAGUGAAGAGCAAUGCCCAUUUUGUUGGAUACCCACAAAAUUAAAUCAAUAGCACCUUUAGAUAAAGCUUCUAAAUGAAUUUGGAGAAAGAAGCUCUUGAAGAAAGGAAGAAGAUGUAGCUUUGGCAAGUUUCUAUUUUCUUAAUUUUAAGGGGGCACGAUCUAUUUCCCCCUCGGAACUAUUGCAUAGUGUUGUAUCCCCACAAAGUUUGGUGGUCAUCCUCUUUCUCCCUAGAUUGAAAGUUUCAAACCUUAUUACACCUCGAUACAAAGUUGAAGAUCGUUUUACACCUGAA